CCAGGUUGAUUCUGCCUGACGUAGACGCUAUUCCCUAAGAUUAACCCAUGCAUGUUUUUGACAUUUGAAAAAUGGACUGCUCAGUAAUACUCACUUUAUUUUAUGUAAAUUUUUAAUUAACUACGUUAAAGUGUAGAUAAGAUGUUUACAGUAAGAGUGAGACCUAUCAGCUAGUUGUUAAGGUAAUGGCUUAACAAGGCUGUGACGGGUAACGGUAUUACUUUGUAAUAUUCCGGAGAAGGAGCCUGAGAGACGGCUACUAAGUCUAAGGAUUGCAGCAGGGGCGAAACUUGACCUAUGGAUUUUAUCUGAGGCAGUUAUGGGAAGUAAUAUUAUAUUGUUUCAUAUUUUAAAAGUAUAUGAGGUGAUUAAUUGGAGGGCAAAUCAAGUGCCAGCAGCCGCGGUAAUACUUGUUCCAAGAGUGUGUAUGAUGAUUGAUGCAGUUAAAAAGUCCGUAGUUUAUUUUUUUAAGAAGCAAUAUGAGGUGUACUGUAUAGUUGGGAGAAAGAUGAAAUGUGACGACCCUGACUGGACGAACA
rnacentral:rRNA from 1 species